rnacentral:rRNA from 1 species
AACGAACGCUGGCGGCAGGCCUAACACAUGCAAGUCGAACGCCGUAGCAAUACGGAGUGGCAGACGGGUGAGUAACGCGUGGGAACCUACCUUACGGACGGGAAUAGCUCAGGGAAACUUGGGGUAAUACCGGAUACGCCCUUACGGGGAAAGAUUUAUCGCCGUUAGAUGGGCCCGCGUAGGAUUAGCUAGUUGGUGAGGUAAUGGCUCACCAAGGCGACGAUCCUUAGCUGGUCUGAGAGGAUGACCAGCCACACUGGGACUGAGACACGGCCCAGACUCCUCCUGGAGGCAUCAGUGGGGAAUAUUGGACAAUAGGCGCAAGCCUGAUCCAGCCAUGCCGCGUGAGUGACGAAGGCCUUAGGGUUGUAAAGCUCCUUUGGCGGGGAAGAUAAUGACGGUACCCGCAGAAUAAGCUCCGGCUAACUUCGUGCCAGCAGCCGCCGUAACAC